ACCACCAUGUUAGACCCACAUGCAAAGCGUAGUCGCAACAUACUUUGGGAUCAGCCCACGCUCGCCAAUUAUCAUAGGCCUCGACGAGGGAUUCACUUCUCUCCGGAAAUACACAAUCGACUGUAAGAUACGGAGAAGUUAGAAAUAAACCCAGAUUUGUAAAGCUCGUAGUAGCUCGUUAUCUCAAUUGAAACGUACUAUACACAUUCGCUUCCGCCGCAAGACUGAUUCGAAUGACUGAUGUGCUGCGAUGGUAUACUCUUGUUGCGGAACCCCAAUGCGCUAACAGCCAACAAACAAU